AUAAAAAAUUACUAUAUGAGGAUACUGGAGGUGGCAUUACAGUUCACAAAUGUGCAUUGAGUCUUGAUGGUGACUGGAUCUAUGUCACAAACUUAGCCCAGAACAAGCUCCUGAAAAUGGCCACAGAUGGAACCCUGAUAUCAAUCUUCAGUGACCCUGAAAUGAAAGGGCCAAAAGGUGUACACGUCACACCAACAGGGCAAGUCCUUGUAUGUGGUAUCAUCUCCCAUACUGUCAUACAAGUGGAUCGUGAGGGGAAAACAAAACUGGCAACUAUCGCUUUAGAGAAAGAUGGAAUUAGCUACCCAGUGUCAAUCUGCUACAACACCACCGCUAACCAGAUCAUUGCGGGACUAUAUGCUAGCAAUAAAAUACGUGUUAUGGAAUUGUAAUAGCUCAUCUAUGUGAAUUAAAAAAAUUGAUAUAAACAUAGCUAUAAAUGUAAUUUCCAUUUUUCUUUGAAUGGCACAUUUAGCAAUUAAUAUCCAGGUAGGGCCAAAACUUUUUUGAAAAGUGAAUUGUUUGACUGCUUUAGAUUAUAGCAAGCAUGAUUUAAAACAAGCAUGUAUGAAAAUUGUCAACUGAUCUUGAAUGAAGAAUGUGUGUUAAAUGUGCACAAUGUUAAAUGUGCACAGUCAAUUUUAAAUGAUUUUUUAAAUUAAAUGGUACUAAGUUUAACUAUUUUCGGAUAAAUUGAAUCUGUAUGUGUCUGUGUUGAUCUUUCUUAACGAACGAAACAAAAAGUUUACCCGGGGUACAUGUAAACUAAGUAGUACCCGAGCCGACAAUGACCCAUCGGGCAUAAAUUACUGAUAAUUAAUAAAUCAUUUCGUACAAAUCAAAAACUUACUGAGAGCGUUAUAACUAAAUCAAAUGAAUGUGUUAAAAAUAAUUCAGUUGUGAAUUUAUAACAAACAUACAGUAAUUCAUCUAGUUUACUAUAAAAAUGGCAAUAAACCAAAUGUCUGUUUAGUUGCUUAAAUGUCUUAAAGCAUCUCUGGACAAAAAUUAUUCUGACCAAAAAAACAACAACUUAUAUCACAAGAAACUAGAGCAUUUCAAGAGUCAUGAAAAGUUAAUAACAAAUGGCUACACUUUUAUAAUAAAAAAUUGGCUCAGCUUUGAUAUGAAAAAAUACAAUUAAUGUAAUGUUACCUUUGAAUUAAGGUGCAGAACACAAACACAUUCAUUGAUGGUUGUAAUAUCCCCAAAACAAAAGACUCAGUGACAACACAUGCUAAGUCUUAGGGUUAAGAGUUGUUUAAUGAAGAUAAUGCAAAUAUUUGAUACUUUGAUGUUGUUCUAGUUGGAUUGCUGGAUUUGUUUGUAAUUCAUGUGGUGAAUAAAAUCUGCUUAUAUGUUACAUGCCAUUGAUCUUGUUAAAUUUACUCCAUGUGAUAUGCCUUUAGUUGUGUGGAUUAAAGUUAUGUUAAGUGUGCUUCCAUGUAUUAAAUAAAUGAUGCUUUGUACUUUGA